rnacentral:lncRNA from 1 species
UGUGAUUUCUGUUUGCCAAAACACAGCUAAUACAUUGCUAAUUCUACUCUGGUUUGUUACUUACAGCACAACUGAAGGAAAUGCCUAUUUGCAAUGAGAAAUUAGUGAAAAUAAAAAUCAAUUUUCCCAGCACUUUGGGAGGCCGAGGCAGGAGCAUUGCUUGAGGCCAGGAGUUAGAGAUCAGCCAGGGCAACGUGUGAGGGAAGCAAAGUCUCCAGGGGUUAAGUGAUCUGCCAAGAGCCACCUAGUUGGUGGUAGAGCCAGGACUAGAACUCAAC